GAUGAACGCUGGCGGCGUGCCUAAUACAUGCAAGUCGAGCGAACGGACGAGAAGCUUGCUUCUCUGAUGUUAGCGGCGGACGGGUGAGUAACACGUGGAUAACCUACCUAUAAGACUGGGAUAACUUCGGGAAACCGGAGCUAAUACCGGAUAAUAUUUUGAACCGCAUGGUUCAAAAGUGAAAGACGGUCUUGCUGUCACUUAUAGAUGGAUCCCGGCUGCAUUAGCUAGUUGGUAAGGUAACGGCUUACCAAGGCAACGAUGCAUAACCGACCUGUGAGGGUGAUCGGCCACACUGGAACUGAGACACGGUCCAGGCGCCUACGGGAGGCAGCAGUCGGGAAUGUUCCGCAAUGGGCGAAAGUCUGACGGAGCAACGGCGCGUGAGUGAUGAAGGUCUUCGGAGCGUAAAACUCUGUUAUUAGGGAAGAACAUAUGUGUAAGUAACUGUGCACAUCUUGACGGUACCUAAUCAGAAAGCCACGGCUAACUACGUG
rnacentral:rRNA from 1 species